rnacentral:rRNA from 1 species
UACAGAGGUCUCAAGCGUUGUUCGGAUUCAUUGGGCGUAAAGGGUGUGUAGGUGGCGCCGUAAGUCGGGUGUGAAAUUUCGGAGCUUAACUCCGAAACUGCAUUCGAUACUGCGGUGCUUGAGGACUGGAGAGGAGACUGGAAUUCAUGGUGUAGCAGUGAAAUGCGUAGAGAUCAUGAGGAAGACCAGUGGCGAAGGCGGGUCUCUGGACAGUUCCUGACACUGAGGCACGAAAGCGUGGGGAGCAAACAGG